UAUGCUUGGCAAGCAGGUUGACAACCGCUUUAGAGAUCUUUUAAGACGGACACUGUCAUCCAUCCCUCACCCUCCCUUAGUCAACUCUUGCAACACCCACAGGAAAGAAAGGAGUGGCCUAUUUUAUACUGGAACAUACAUUGCAACAUAUACAUAUAUGAUUAUUACAUAUAAAACUUAGGUGCUUGUCAUACAACAAUCAGCUGUUAAAAAGAGAACAUGUGAAAAAAUUUGAUCCAAAUUUUAUCCUUACAUAAAAUUAUUAUUGAAAAAAAAAGAGAAAGAAAAGAACAAAAAAGAAAUGGGAAAAACAUUUACUACAAAAAUUACUACUACAAAAAUACUACAAAAAAUAGAAACUAAUCAGUGAAAAAAACAAAGAAAAACUGAAGAUAUAAUAUAGAAAAAAAGAAACAUUAACUCAAGCAGAUAAUAAGAGAAUUACUCGUGUAGUAGGCUACUACACACCUACUACAAAAGUCCAUGAUAUAGAUAUGGGUGCUUUAGCCAUCAUGGAUUGGCUCAUGAAAUAUACACAAACAGGGAAAUAUACAGGUACAUAUAGAAUAAACAUAUCGCAGUGGUCCAUAUGGAAUUGUGGGAAAAAGCUAUUUAUGAAAAUAUUUUAAGAGCCUUUAUAUUUUAUAGUGUUUGAGUGAACUACAAUUUCACAGACUUCUGAUUAAGAAGUCCAAUUAAGGAUUUAGAAAAAGCAAAAAAUAUGUUGGUUAACUAUAAAAUUAAAAUAAUCAUAAUACAUACUUAUCUAAUACAUGGGCUACAUUCGUUUUAGUAGCAUUUACAUUAUCAACAAAAUCAUUAUUUGUUUUCAACUUUUCAAAAGUAUCUGGCAAA